GGGACGCGCACCAUCCUCCCCCGGCGCCGGAGGACCCAGCCGCCUGGAUCCUCCCUCCUCCCCUACGCCUGCUUCAGCCCAAGGACUCUGUUUUUUGGGGAGCAAGGGGGGGGCCUCCCGGAUCCUCUCUCCUUUCCUGCCCCGAAACCCCUCUGUCUGUGUCAACGUUGUGCCCCCACCACCAUCGAAACCAGCAUCCUGGCGUCCACAGCGCGCCGAGCUCGAAGAGAAGGGAGCGAGGCCACUGCGGCUUCCCAGCUCUAAGGGUGCAGAAUUGUUUGUUUUCUGGGAUGCAAACUGCUAAACUCCAGGCGUCUGAACUGGAACCCAUAACUGAACUAGUUAAAAGCUGGCAGGUUUCUGAAGAUUAAAGAACACUUUCUUGUUUUGAUUUUUUUUUUUCCUUUUAACAUGGGGGUUGCAAAGAGAGGUAGGUUAAAGAAAAAGCAGGCAUAAAGCACAAGGAAAGCUCGAUGGAUUGGCUGCUGCUCACUAAAGAUCUUCCCCUUCUCUCCAAAUAAGGUGGUCUCGAAAGAGCACUGGCUUUAGUAGUUGGAAGGAAGGCGAGCCAGUUUUCCCCUGGCUCCGGUGGGUGACGGCAAUCCAGCCCCAGUCGCUGGGUCGCUAAAACUAGCUAUUUCUUAAAGCUGUCGCUCGGUUGGGAAAGAGCAAAAAAAAAAAAAAGAAAAAAAAAGAAAGAAACGCGGCUGCAAGUCUUUAAUCUGGGCAAAGGAACGACCGGCACCGAGCGAGACGCGAGCAAAACUGGAGGCUUCGGUGGGGAUCCGUGGACGCAUCAGUCUGACUCAAAACCACCAAGAACCUCAGGUGCAGAAAUCCAUCAGUUCUUCUUUUACGAGAAUUUUUAGCAAACGAACUCGAUCCGUUUCCUCAGUACCUCACAUCGUGUUAACAGCGGAGUUGGCAAGGGCUGGCUUGUUAGCGCGACACACACAACCUGUGGGAGCUUCGGGCCCAUCGCAGUGAAGGCGCCGACGCGAAAAACGAUAAGCUCUGUGACUAUAACUAUACCCUGGCAGCGGGUAUUUUUUUUUACCACCUUCAAGUUUCACCAGAGACUGGCUACUGCCAAUUCGUCCAGCUGUUCCAGAAUAAAGUUGGGGUCUUUUCAACGAUCACCUCUUCUAUUAUUAAAUGGAUUUUCACUCUCAAAUGGUCUUUUUUUUUUAGCUAAUCGGGUCAGUCCUACCCCUCCAGAAAGGUAUUUUUUUAGCCACGUUAUCGUAUACUAGUAACUUUGAACUGAAUGGGGAGCCCGCUGUUCAUUCCAAAGUUUCAGGUAUUACUUGUGUGACAUCUUCUAGAGUCUCUAGGACUUUUUUUGGUGUUUUUUCUCUUUUUGUUUUUUUGGAAACUGUGCAUGCCUGCCCUUUGAUUUGAGCUGCCUUGUUAAUUUAUUAUUGCAUACCCUUCUUUUGGUAUUCCUCUCUCUACACUAUCUGUUCAGUUUGUAUUUAUUGGAAAACGAGGAACAGACGAAAGCGACUCUUCUCACGCGGUUGUGGCGGUGUGUGUGUGGGGGGGAUUAGCUCCAUCCCCUACCCGAAAUCCAGCAAUGUUACCAGGAAUGUUACCCGUGUGUCCGUCUGUCAGCCGCGAAUGUGUAUCGCUGCCCUUCUCAAAAAUGAAUCCUGUCCUCCCAUUGUCCAUAGGUCUUUUUAAGGGAUUUUUAAAAGAACUCUUUUGUUUUCCUGUUUUUAUUCUUCUCCGUUGCAAAGAACUCGGUUUCCUAAAUCAUACGGGAGCAAUAGUAUUUCUUGAUGUUUGAAUUACAUCCAUACACUUGUACUGUA